rnacentral:rRNA from 1 species
AACGAACGCUGGCGGCAGGCCUAACACAUGCAAGUCGAGCGAGGACUUCGGUUCUAGCGGCGGACGGGCGAGUAACGCGUGGGAAUGUGCCCUUCUCUACGGAAUAGCCCUGGGAAACUGGGAGUAAUACCGUAUACGCCCUAUUGGGGAAAGAUUUAUCGGAGAAGGAUCAGCCCGCGUUGGAUUAGGUAGUUGGUGGGGUAAUGGCCUACCAAGCCGACGAUCCAUAGCUGGUUUGAGAGGAUGAUCAGCCACACUGGGACUGAGACACGGCCCAGACUCCUACGGGAGGCAGCAGUAGGGAAUCUUAGACAAUGAGGGCAGCCCUAAUGUAGCCAUGUCGCGGGAGUGAGGAAUGCCUUAGGGUUGUAAAGCUCUUUCAGCUGGGAAGAUAAUGACGGUACCAGCAGAAGAAGCCCCGGCUAACUCCGUG